rnacentral:rRNA from 1 species
AGUGAAUAGAUACCCUGGUAGUCCUAGCCGUAAACGAUACUCGCUAGGUGUCGGCCACGGUGCGACCGUUGUCGGUGCCGUAGGGAAAGCCGUGAAGCGAGCCACCUGGGAAGUACGGCCGCAAGGCUGAAACUUAAAGGAAUUGGCGGGGGAGCACCACAACGGGUGGAGCUUGCGGUUUAAAUUGGAUUCAACGCCGGAAAUCUUACCGGGACCGACAGCAACAUGAAGGCCAGGCUGAAGACUUUGCCGGAUUAGCUGAGAGGUGGUGCAUGGCCGUCGUCAGUUCGUACUGUGAAGCAUCCUGUUAAGUCAGGCAACGAGCGAGACCCACGCCCACAGUUGCCAGCGUACUCUCCGGAGUGACGGGUACACUGUGGGGACCGCCGCUGCUAAAGCGGAGGAAGGAAUGGGCAACGGUAGGUCAGUAUGCCCCGAAUAUCCCGGGCUACACGCGAGCUACAAUGGUUGGUACAAUGGGUAUCUACCCCGAAAGGGAUGGAAAUCUCCUAAAGCCAAUCUUAGUUCGGAUUGAGGGCUGCAACUCGCCCUC